rnacentral:rRNA from 1 species
AGAUUCCCAGAGUAGUGGCGAGCGAAAUGGGACCAGCCUGUACUCUUUAUCUUCAUUGUUAGUCGAAGGCUCUGGAAAGUGCCGCCAUAGCAGGUGAUAGCCCUGUAGACGAAAACAGCGAGGAAGAACUAGGUGUACGGAAAGUAGGGCGGGACACGUGAAAUCCUGUCUGAAGAUGGGGGGACCAUCCUCCAAGGCUAAAUACUCGUGAUCGACCGAUAGUGAACCAGUACCGUGAGGGAAAGGCGAAAAGAACCCCGGGAGGGGAGUGAAACAGAUCCUGAAACCGCAUGCAUACAAACAGUCGGAGCCUCUGCGAAGGGGUGACGGCGUACCUUUUGUAUAAUGGGUCAGCGACUUACAUUCAGUGGCAAGCUUAACCGAUUAGGGCAGGCGUAGCGAAAGCGAGUCCGAACAGGGCGAUUCAGUCGCUGGGUGUAGACCCGAAACCAGGUGAUCUAUCCAUGGCCAGGAUGAAGGUGCGGUAACACGUACUGGAGGUCCGAACCCACUAACGUUGAAAAGUUAGGGGAUGAGCUGUGGAUAGGGGUGAAAGGCUAAACAAACCUGGAAAUAGCUGGUUCUCUCCGAAAACUAUUUAGGUAGUGCCUCGUGUAUCACCUUCGGGGGUAGAGCACUGUCAUGGUUGUGGGGUCCAUUGCGGAUUACUACGCCAUAGCAAACUCCGAAUACCGAAGAGUGCAAUCACGGGAGACAGACAUCGGGUGCUAACGUCCGGUGUCAAGAGGGAAACAACCCAGACCGCCAGCUAAGGUCCCCAAAUAUUGCUAAGUGGGAAACGAAGUGGGAAGGCUAAAACAGUCAGGAGGUUGGCUUAGAAGCAGCCAUCCUUUAAAGAAAGCGUAAUAGCUCACUGAUCGAGUCGUCCUGCGCGGAAGAUGUAACGGGGCUAAGCAAUAUACCGAAGCUGCGGAUGCACAUUUAUGUGCAUGGUAGGAGAGCGUUCCGUAAGCCUGCGAAGGUGCAUUGAAAAGUGUGCUGGAGGUAUCGGAAGUGCGAAUGCUGACAUGAGUAGCGAUAAAGGGGGUGAAAGGCCCCCUCGCCGUAAGCCCAAGGUUUCCUACGCAACGUUCAUCGGCGUAGGGUGAGUCGGCCCCUAAGGCGAGGCAGAAAUGCGUAGCUGAUGGGAAGCAGGUUAAUAUUCCUGCACCAUUGUUAAAUGCGAUGGGGGGACGGAUCGCGGAAGGUUGUCCGGGUGUUGGAAGUCCCGGUCCUUGCAUUGGAGAAGGCGCUCAGGCAAAUCCGGGCGCGGAAUUCAAGGGUGCGAGGCCAGUCGCUUAGGCGACGAAGCAAUCGGAAGUGGUUCCAAGAAAAGCCUCUAAGCUUCAGUUUAACAGGACCGUACCGCAAACCGACACAGGUGGGCGAGAUGAGUAUUCUAAGGCGCUUGAGAGAACUCGGGAGAAGGAACUCGGCAAAUUGGUACCGUAACUUCGGGAUAAGGUACGCCCCUGUAGCUUGAUGCCCCUGCGGGCAGAGGGUGAAGGGGUUGCAAUAAACUGGUGGCUGCGACUGUUUAAUAAAAACACAGCACUCUGCAAACACGAAAGUGGACGUAUAGGGUGUGACGCCUGCCCGGUGCCGGAAGAUUAAAUGAUGGGGUGCAAGCUCUUGAUUGAAGUCCCGGUAAACGGCGGCCGUAACUAUAACGGUCCUAAGGUAGCGAAAUUCCUUGUCGGGUAAGUUCCGACCUGCACGAAUGGCGUAACGAUGGCCACACUGUCUCCUCCCGAGACUCAGCGAAGUUGAAGUGUUUGUGAUGAUGCAAUCUCCCCGCGGCUAGACGGAAAGACCCCAUGAACCUUUACUGUAGCUUUGCAUUGGACUUUGAACCGAUCUGUGUAGGAUAGGUGGGAGGCUAUGAAGCGUGGACGCCAGUCUGCGUGGAGCCGUCCUUGAAAUACCACCCUGGUUUGUUUGAGGUUCUAACCUUGGCCCGUGAUCCGGGUCGGGGACAGUGCAUGGUAGGCAGUUUGACUGGGGCGGUCUCCUCCCAAAGUGUAACGGAGGAGUACGAAGGUACGCUAGGUACGGUCGGAAAUCGUGCUGAUAGUGCAAUGGCAUAAGCGUGCUUAACUGCGAGACCGACAAGUCGAGCAGGUGCGAAAGCAGGUCAUAGUGAUCCGGUGGUUCUGUAUGGAAGGGCCAUCGCUCAACGGAUAAAAGGUACUCUGGGGAUAACAGGCUGAUACCGCCCAAGAGUUCAUAUCGACGGCGGUGUUUGGCACCUCGAUGUCGGCUCAUCUCAUCCUGGGGCUGUAGCCGGUCCCAAGGGUAUGGCUGUUCGCCAUUUAAAGAGGUACGUGAGCUGGGUUUAAAACGUCGUGAGACAGUUUGGUCCCUAUCUGCCGUGGGCGCUGGAUAUUUGAAGGGGGCUGCUCCUAGUACGAGAGGACCGGAGUGGACGAACCUCUGGUGUACCGGUUGUCACGCCAGUGGCAUCGCCGGGUAGCUAUGUUCGGAAGAGAUAACCGCUGAAAGCAUCUAAGCGGGAAACUCGCCUUAAGAUGAGAUAUCCCCGGGGCUUCGAGCCCCUUGAAGGGUCGUUCAAGACCAGGACGUUGAUAGGUCAGGUGUGGAAGCGCAGUAAUGCGUUAAGCUAACUGAUACUAAUUGCCCGUAAGGCUUGAUCCU